UACGGAGGGGGCGAGCGUUGUCCGCAGUUACUGGGCGUAAAGCGCGCGUAGGCGGGUUGGUAAGUCCGCUGUGAAAGCCCGGAGCUCAACUCCGGAGGGUCGGUGGAUACUGCCAGUCUUGAAGGUGCUAGGGGGAGAUGGAAUUACCGGUGUAGCGGUGAAAUGCGUAGAUAUCGGUAGGAACACCAGUGGCGAAGGCGGUCUCCUGGGGCAUUCUUGACGCUGAGGCGCGAAAGCGUGGGGAGCAAACAGG
rnacentral:rRNA from 1 species